rnacentral:ncRNA from 2 species
AUAAAGUUUAAUUUUAGUUUAAUGAUUUAUUUAAUUUUUUAUUCACAUGUAAAUUAAUGUAAGAGGAGGAAUUAAAUUUAAAUAGUUUAAUUUACAUAAUUUAUUCGCAGUGUAAAAAUUUAAUUAAAUUUAAGAAAUUAAGAAUUAUAAAUAAAUUUAAGUAUUAACAAAAUUUGUGCCAGCAGUUGCGGUUAUACAAAUAAUGUAAGUAAAUUUUAUUGGUAAAUAAUUAAAAGUAGAAUAUAUAAAAUAAAAUUAAAUUUUUAAGGUGAAAUUUAAUUUUUAUAAUUUUUUAUAGUAUGAGAUUAUGAAAUUUAUUUAAAAAACUAGGAUUAGAUACCCUAUUAUUGUAAAUGUAAAUUUUAGAUAUCAAGGUAGUAAUAGUUAUGUUCUUGAAAUUUAAAAAAUUUGGCGGUAUUUUAGUCUAUUUAGAGGAACCUGUUCCAUAAUUGAUAGUCCACGAUUAGCAAUACUUAAUUUAAUUAGUUUGUAUAUCGUCGUUUUUAGGUAUUUUAUAAGAAUUUGAAUAUUUAAUAUUUAAGAUAAAAAUAUAUUUCAGAUCAAGGUGCAGCAUAUAGUUAAGGGGAAAUGGGUUACAAUGGAAUUAUUUAUAUGAAUUUGUGGGUUAAAUUUUGCAAUGAAGGUGGAUUUAAUAGUAAUAAAAUUAAUUUUAAUUUUAUGAUUUAAGCUCUAAGAUAUGUACAUAUCGCCCGUCACUCUUAUUAUAAGGUAAGAUAAGUCGUAACAAAGUAGAUGUAUUGGAAAAUGUAUCUAGAAAGAU